GCCUACGGGGGGCAGCAGUGGGGAAUAUUGCGCAAUGGGCGAAAGCCUGACGCAGCGACGCCGCGUGAGGGAUGAAGGUCUUCGGAUCGUAAACCUCUGUCAGCAGGGAAGAACGGUCACUGUGCUAAUCAGCAGUGAAUUGACGGUACCUGCAAAGGAAGCACCGGCUAACUCCGUGCCAGCAGCCGCGGUAAUACCGAGGGUGCGAGUGUUAAUCGGAAUUACUGGGCGUAAAGCGCUCGUAGGCGGUAUGUCAAGUCAAGGGUGAAAUCCCCGCGCUCAACGUGGGAACUGCCUUUGAAACU
rnacentral:rRNA from 1 species